GCUGGUCUGAGAGGAUGACCAGCCACACCGGAACUGAGACACGGUCCAGACUCCUACGGGAGGCAGCAGUGGGGAAUAUUGCACAAUGGGCGCAAGCCUGAUGCAGCCAUGCCGCGUGUAUGAAGAAGGCCUUCGGGUUGUAAAGUACUUUCAGCGGGGAGGAAGGUGUUGCGGUUAAUAACCGCAGCAAUUGACGUUACCCGCAGAAGAAGCACCGGCUAACUCCGUGCCAGCAGCCGCGGUAAUACGGAGGGUGCAAGCGUUAAUCGGAAUUACUGGGCGUAAAGCGCACGCAGGCGGUCUGUCAAGUCGGAUGUGAAAUCCCCGGGCUCAACCUGGGAACUGCAUUCGAAACUGGCAGGCUAGAGUCUUGUAGAGGGGGGUAGAAUUCCAGGUGUAGCGGUGAAAUGCGUAGAGAUCUGGAGGAAUACCGGUGGCGAAGGCGGCCCCCUGGACGAAGACUGACGCUCAGGUGCGAAAGCGUGGGGAGCAAACAGGAUUAGA
rnacentral:rRNA from 1 species